CUGUUACCAUUAUAACUGAGGUCAGUGUGACUUGAUUUCACUACUGACAACUGAACUGAUAAAGAUGCAGAUGAUGUUAUGCUUGGUCACUGGGUCUUGUAUUCAGUGUUAGCACACCUCUGAAGUGACGUAAGAUUAAAUCUGGAAGAAAUAUCACAAAUUGAACCAAAUAAUAUUUUCUAAACUGCCUGUCAUAUUCAAAGCACUUAGUUUGGAAUCCAAGAUGAAUGCCUAGAGGGCAGGAGUACCCAUUAGUUCAAUUAGCAAAGAGGCAAGGUUGAAACAGGUACAUUGUUGUCAGGGUUUGUUUCAGGCAGAUUUGUUUUUAAAAAAAUUUUUAAAAUUCUUUGGUAGCUGCAUCUGAAACAACAUAACAAUUGCUUUCUUCAUAACUGGAAAGUAAAUCCAGUUUUGUGAGGUCUUAGGUAUUGGAUUUCCCACAAGGUACAAGUUCAGGGUGAUAUCAUUUCAGUUUGCUAAAGGUUUUCCAAGAGGUUUGUUUAGUUUAGGCACACAAGGCAAUGUGGUUUUAUCUGUGCAAAGGCAGUAAUAUGGCUUCAAUUGAUUACUGAAUGAGUGAUAAGUUAAUCUAUGCCCUUUUCAUUCCAAAGUGCACAAAUGGGGAUUAGUCAGAUAUUGCUUGACUAUUACUGUAUUUCCUGUAAUAAGCCCCUCUGAGGAUUUCUUUAGUUGUUUAGCCAUUUACUGUUAUCCUUCCUUAUCGGUUUGGAAGUUCAGGAUGGCCACAGGUACAAUAGGCCGUGCAGGGAUAUAGAUAUUUCAGCUUACAUUUUUGUAAAAGCCACAGUCAAGAGUAAAUUGUCACAGACUAGAUUUUGCUAUAUUUGAUUCAGAAUUUAUUUCCACAUAGACAGCAAAAUAUGAACAUGGUAAUAUGAAAAUGCCGUGACAACACUUCAUUGUUAAGCCUUUUGUUAUUUCAGGAGAAGCAGUUUAAGUCAAAUAACCUCAGCAUUUGUCUGAGACCGGACACUUUGUAGAGACCCAACUCUCAUUGUGUUGUAUGCUUGCUUCAUAGCCAGCUCUUAUUAGGGGAAAUGUGGUAAAUUUAAAUUGGGCCUGAAUAUUGGUCUGGUUUAAUACUGUAAAUCAAGAUGAUUAAUUCUAGCCAUUGUCCCAACCUACAACAGUGACUAGCUUUAGGGGCGGUGGGGUAGCCCAGUGGUUAAAGCGUU